CGCCGGCGGGCUUCCUUAUUCCUGCAAGUUGAACCGGCCGGCGGGAAGCUGCUUCCUUUGGUUAACGGCCGGCGGGUGGGUUACCAGUGGGUUACCCGCCCGUUAGGAUGGGAUUAAUUCGGGAAACCGGGGGUUAUUCCGGAUGGUUGGAUGAACCGCCAGGUUUCAAUCAUAAAAGGUGGCUUUCAGCUACCACUUACAGAUGGACCCGCGGCGCAUUAGCUAGUUGGUGAGGUAACGGCUCACCAAGGCGACGAUGCGUAGCCGACCUGAGAGGGUGAUCGGCCACACUGGGACUGAGACACGGCCCAGACUCCUACGGGAGGCAGCAGUAGGGAAUCUUCCGCAAUGGACGAAAGUCUGACGGAGCAACGCCGCGUGAGUGAUGAAGGUUUUCGGAUCGUAAAACUCUGUUGUUAGGGAAGAACAAGUACCGUUCGAAUAGGGCGGUACCUUGACGGUACCUAACCAGAAAGCCACGGCUAACUACGUGCCAGCAGCCGCGGUAAUACGUAGGUGGCAAGCGUUGUCCGGAAUUAUUGGGCGUAAAGCGCGCGCAGGCGGUUUCUUAAGUCUGAUGUGAAAGCCCCCGGCUCAACCGGGGAGGGUCAUUGGAAACUGGGGAACUUGAGUGCAGAAGAGGAGAGUGGAAUUCCACGUGUAGCGGUGAAAUGCGUAGAGAUGUGGAGGAACACCAGUGGCGAAGGCGACUCUCUGGUCUGUAACUGACGCUGAGGCGCGAAAGCGUGGGGAGCGAACAGGAUUAGAUACCCUGGUAGUCCACGCCGUAAACGAUGAGUGCUAAGUGUUAGAGGGUUUCCGCCCUUUAGUGCUGCAGCAAACGCAUUAAGCACUC
rnacentral:rRNA from 1 species